rnacentral:tmRNA from 2 species
GGGGAUGACUUGGUUUCGACGAGAGACGUGUGCGGCGAGCUGCGCGCCGGGUGGUGUCCGAUACGCCCGUGACACCCAUCGGACCGCACUUGUAGCUGCGAACGACUACUCCUACUCGCUGGCCGCGUAAACACGCCGCUAGCUGUCUCGCACAGUGGGUGCUCACUGUCGCUGUGCGAGACACCGACUAGAGUGAGCUGGUCCCGGAGGCUCCGGCUGAGCCGAACGGACGAGAACCAACCAGCCUGCGUUUGACCGGAAGCCCGUCGGCGGGCCACGCCGGACAAGCAAAGACCUUUAAAGCGCCGACUACGCGUGUAGACGCUCGGACUGUAGCGUUUCUCGGACCCGGGUUCGACUCCCGGCAUCUCCACAA